UGGGGAAUAUUGCACAAUGGGGGAAACCCUGAUGCAGCGACGCCGCGUGAAGGAAGAAGUAUCUCGGUAUGUAAACUUCUAUCAGCAGGGAAGAUAGUGACGGUACCUGACUAAGAAGCCCCGGCUAACUACGUGCCAGCAGCCGCGUAAUAGCACUGU
rnacentral:rRNA from 1 species